rnacentral:tRNA from 1 species
GGCCAGCUAGCUCAGUCGGUUAGAGCGUUCGUGCUAAUAACGCGAAGGUCGUAGGUUCGAUCGCUGCGCAGGCCA